rnacentral:lncRNA from 1 species
AGGAAUUUGAUUUUCUAGUAUUUUUAUUUGAAUCCAAAUGAGAGGUACUUCUUUAUUUACAUUGUAAACUUAAGUAAAUGGAUAUUUAUUUUUAUAUUACUCCAUUUACUUAAAUAUUGAAAAUGAAAAUAAAGUAAUCUGUACAGUGUAAUUGAUUGGGCUAAUAUUAAAAAUAAAUUAAAUAUAUAGGUUAUACACAUUUUUUUUCCUUAAAAAACCACCCUAGGCUACAGCCCACUAUAGCCCAUAGUAUGGUUCCGCACUUGUUCCCUGCCCCAUUUGUAGUCGCCGGGUAGCAGAAGGGAAGUUGAUAACGACGGAUGGUCAAAUUUACAAGCUGGCCCAGAAUUGCAAAUGCCAUAGGUACUGUAUUGUGUGCAAAUGUUCUAGCCCUGGAUUUGAAACAAAUUUGGUAUUAAAAAAAAUUGUGAUCAAUGACAUGCACUAAUAAAGCGUAAUAUGUGAUCAAAGAUAGGCUCUCACAGUUAGUCAAGAAUCUUUAUGUGGAAUACAAAGGACGGUAAUGAACAUUUUCGUGGUGCACAUUGCUAAUUUAUCCAAAGGAAGCUAAAAAUUUGCAAAAUUUUGAACUUCCCAAUUAUUCCAUUACUUAAAAAAAUUGUGCAACAGCAACUUGUUUGAUCCUAUUCCAUAAUUAUGUACGCACUUAAAAAAAAACACACAAUUCAAAGAAGAGUGAACUUACUAGUCUCAAAGGGUGGCCUUUUUCACUCAGUGCACAUGAGGGGAACAAUGCAGUCUGAUUUUUUGGAUGGUGAUAUUUGCAAUUAGAUAUAAACUUACAAUCCCCUGUUCUUGAGAAGUAAAUGCAAGCAGGUUGCCCAGGUCGUUCUGGGAGUUGUUCAACUUGCUUCUGCUGUGGAUGUUGUUCAUAGGCGUUAGUUUCAGUUACCGAGUAGUUCAUAACAUAUGGUGGAGGGGUAGGCAUGCUACUUUCUGGAAGAUAUUCUAAAGCCUAAACAUGGCACAACCAAAAAAAUAAAUUGAAAUGAAAACCAUGCAUGCGAAAAUGCAAAAGAGAUGCCCAUGGCAGUUUAUGGCAAAUGUCAUAGCUACGGUAUUGUGUGGAAAUGCUCUGACGCUGGGAUUUGAAACAAAAUUUGUGUGAUCAAUGGCAUUGAAUAAUGAAGCGUAAUAUGUGAUCAAACACAGGCUCUCAGAGUCAUAGUUAGUCAAGAAUCUUUCUGCUGAGAGAGAGAAAAAAAAAAGACAUGUCCACAACUUUCACUACAAUCUCUUCCCAAGGUCAAAUUUGUGUCAGCAAUGAAUGUUUUCGUGGCACAUUGCUGAUUUAUCCAAAGGAAAAUAACAACUUGCAAAAUUUUGAAUUGUCCAAUUAUUCCGCGUUUAAAAAAAUAAAGCGCAACAGGUACUUGUUAGAUCAUAUUCCAUAAUUAUGCAUUCACUUUAAAAAGCACAAUUCAAAGAAGAGUGAACUUACUGGUCCCAAAGGGAGGCCCUUGUCACUCAGGACACUUCAGUGUGAUUGUUUGGAUACUGAUAUUUGCAAUUAGAUCGUUCUGGGAGUUCUUCAACUUGCUUCUGCUGUGGAUGUUGUUCAUAGGAAUUGGUCUCAGUGACUGAGUGAUUCAUAACAAAGGGUGGAGGUGCAGACAUGCUUUUUUCUGGUAGAUAUUCUGGAGCCUAAACAUAGCACAACCAAAACAAAUAAUUGAAGGGAAAAGCAUGCAUGCGAAAAUGCAAUAGAGAUGCUCAUGGAAGUUGAAUAUUGCGAAUGACAUAGCUAUGGUAUUGUGUGCUAACGUUCUGACACUGGUAUUUGAAACAAAGUUAGUACAAAAUUUGUGUGAUAAAUGGUAUGAUAUAAUUAAGUGUAAUAUGUGAUUAGGCUCUCAUAAUUAGUCAAGAAUAUUUAUGUCGAAAGAGACAUGUCGGUUUUCUACACCAAAAAAAAAGAAAAAAGAGAGACAUAUCGACAACUUUCACUACAAUCUCUUCCCAGGGUCAAAUUUGUAUUAGUAAUGAAUACUUUCGGGGCACAUUGCCAAUUUAUCCAAAGGACGCUAAAAGUUUGCAAAUUUUUGAAAUUUCCAAUGAUUCAAUCACUUAAAGUAUUGUACAGCAGGUACUUGUUUAGAUCAUAUUCCAUAAUUAUGUAUUCACUUUAGAAAGCACAAUUCAAAGAAGAGUGAAUUUACUGUUCUCAAAGGAAGGCCCUUGGCACUCAGUGCACACGAGGGGGACACUGCAGUCUGAUUUUUUUGGAUGGUGAUAUUUGCAAUUAUAUUUAAACAUACAAUCCCCUGUUCUUGAGAACUAAAUGCAAACAGGUUGCCCAGGUCGUUGGAGGAGUUUUUCAACUUUCUUCUGCUGUGGAAGUUGUUCAAAGGUGUUGGUUUCAGUCACUGAGUGGUUCAUAACAUAGGCGAGUUGCAGGCAAGAUUCUUUCUGGUAGAUAUUGUGGAGCCUAAACAUUGCACAACCAAAAACAUUUGAAGGGAAAACCAUGCAUGCGAAAAUGAAAAAGAGAACAGUAGUACUCCUAUUAUACUAGUUGAAUGCACGCGAGAGAGGGAGAGAGAGAGAGAGAGAGAGAGAGAGGUCAUAUUACUAGUUUCAUGAGAAAAAUGAAUAAAAAAUAACAUAGAACAAAAAGGUUAACACAAAAAAGAUUUAUUUGAAAUCUUAUCCCUUAAGAAAUGUUAAUUGGUGUAUCAAAGUGAUGAUAGUUAGUCAAACUGAAGACUAUAAUAUGGGAGUGAUGAAUAAAAGUACCUGAACCAUUCCAUUCUGUAUUUUAGGAAGGAAUCCCUUUGAUAUGGUGGAAUCAUCAUCUUUUUUAAGAAAAGCUUGAACGUUGACAAAGGGAUAGUUUAGCCAAGAUUGGGUUCAUCCAAAAUUUCAACCAUUGUCAAUAGAUACGGGGGUUUAAGUUAAGAUCCUUUUAGCUCCGCAAAAGACAAAGCAGUAUCUACACCAUUUAAUUUAAAACCCUAAUUCUUUGAGGAGGUGAUUUGAUCACCACCCUCCUUUGCUACUUCCACCAUCAGAACCCUUGCCCCCAAGAGCUUGCUGCUUUGCCCCAUGAAUUAGUCAGUUUUGCACCUUCUUCAGUUCCUUGUUUUGCCUCACCAGAUUGAUUCCAACUAGAGGAUUGACCCCCGCUUGCAGCACUUGAUUGCUUCCAGUCAGAUGAUUGACCUCCAACAGCAGCACUUGGUUGCUCUCCGGUACCGCCUCCAAAUCCUGAACCUGUUCCUUUGUUCCAACCUGAACCCUGGUUGCCCCAGCCCCCAGCUUGUGCGUUUGAGCUCGGUCCCUUGUUCCAGCCGCCGUCUUGAUCAGUGUUUCCUUUGACUUCUUUGGCUGCAGUCGAUUGUUUCCACCUAGACGAUUGGUCCCCAUUAGAAGCAUCUGAUGAUUUCCAAUUGUUUCCCCAGCUUGUGCCCACUUCAUUAUGAGAACCUGUUCCCUUGUCCUGAGUGCCAGCAGUAUAUUUAGCCUCAACUGUCUGAUUCCAACCUGAUCCCGAACCACCAAUUCCUUUAGUCACAUCAGACUGGUUCCAACCGGAGCUCUGGCUACUCCAUCCGCUAGAGUUCCUACCCUGCCAAUCGUUCUUACUGCCACCUCCUUGGUUCCAACUUCCUCCACCUUUGUCCCUUUUCCAUCCCUCGCCAGCACCGUCUGCCCCUUUGCUCCAGCCUGAUGAGUUAUUAUCAAUAGAUUCAUUUCUAUUGCUCCAACCACCACUUUGAUACCUCCCACGGCCUCUUCCUCCGUAGCCUCUACCACCAAACCCUCCUUUGUCUGAUCUACCUCUACCACCAAAGCUCCCUCUGUCUCCGCCUCUACCACCAAAACCCCAUCUACGUCCAAAACCCCCUCUAUCCUCCUCUCUAUCACCACCUCUACCUACAAAACCCCGUCCACCUCUAAAACCUCCUCCGUCUGAAUUUCCUCUACCUGAACCACCUCUCCAAUUCCCACCACUUCGAUUAUUAUUGAAAUCCUCAGGUUGGUCUCCAUUCACACCAUCCAUUGAUUGACUGCCACCAAAAGAACUUGCCCUCUUCCAACCAUUAUCUUGAUUCCCCACUCCGCCAGACUCAUGUCCUGCUGUUACAUCAGCUUGUUUACCCCAUGAAGACCAUCCAGCUUGUUUACUCCAAUAAGAAUCUCCUGCUGGUUUAUUCCAAGCAGAACUGCCAUCUUGUUUAUUCCAAGUAGAACCUUCACCUUGUUUGUUCCAUGUAGGAUCUCCAUCUUGUUUAGUCCAAGUAGAACCUCCAUCUGAUUUACCCCAGGAAGCUCUUCUAUUGUCAUCUACACCACUUGGUUUCUUCCAACUGUCAUUCUGAUUCUCAUUAAUAAAAGCAGGUUUUGUCCAGCCACUUGCUUCAUCUUUGUUUCCUGCCUCUGAUUGGGCCCAAACCCCAUCUGCAUUACCCCAGCUUCCUAUCUGAACAUGCGGACUCACCAUUGGCACAUAAAGCGGAGCAUCAUUCAAUGAUCUUGGUGCAGACCAUGGUGCUGCUGUUGAUGACGAUGCACCUUGUAAUGAUGCGGAUCCGCCAUUACCACAUCCAGAUGGGGGUUCAGAUUCUCUUGCAGCUGUAGGAUCAGGGUGAUUAAACCUGCAGUUUGUACCAAACAUGCAGGAGGCAUUUCGCAUAUAGAAGGAACAGUCUUUCUCCCCCUGUAACAAGUUAAAAUAAAUAUUCAGGUAGCACACCAAUAAAAUAAGCAAAGAUAAAUCAUAAAUCUUAAACAUCAUGAAUAGAUAUUCAUUCCUCAAAAUUUUGCAGAUCAAACCUAGAAUUCAUACCGGUCGAAUUGGCAGGCCCAGAAAGUUACAUUCUGGAAUUGGAGCUACGGAAGGUUCCCCUCUUCCGGGAUUUAAACUACAAGCUUUUUCAUAUUUACGUCCUCCUGACCUGGAAUAAUCCUGCAACAAGCUCAAGUGUUAUACCCCAUCAUCAAAACACAAAAAACUACUUAAUACCAAAUAUAUGAAGUAAAACAAAAUCUAGACAUGAGGAACAAACAAUUGCAGUAAAAACCAUAACUUGAGAUAGAAAGUUUCUGAGAAAUCAUAACGAAAAUAACCUUGCAUUCGGUCUGGCCUGGCUUCUCUGCUGCCAACCCGUCCCUUUCCUUCAUCUUGUCCUUGGACACCUUCAAUUAAUAUGAUAAUCAGUCUCAAUCUUCCAACCAGAAACAUAAAUAUGCAAAUGCUGAAGGAAAAAGAAGAGAGAUAUACCUGAUUGUUAUAAAGCUCAUCAUGGACGUCUGGGUCGAAUUUUCGAAUCUUAUCAAGCAGGGCAGGGUCGAGUUUCCGAAUUUUAUCAAGGCGGGCAUCAAGUUUCCGAAUCUCUUCAAGGAUGGCAAGAUCGAGAUCAGAGAGUUCAGCAUUUGGCGGAACGUCGGGAUUUGGGAGGCCGAUGGGAGCUGUCAACAUCACUGCUGAUCGUGUUUUUGAUGAAGGAAGCUGGGUUGCUGGGUUUGCUUACACCCUGCAGUGCCAGUCACAUAUCAUCACACAUCUGAUUACCACGGCAUUGAAUUCGAGUUUGAUUCCCUUCCCUUUAGUUUUGGCUUGUGGAAAUUGGGCCAGUGUUUUGAUUGGUAAAAUCAAAGUCACCUGCUUUUUCCUUUUCUCUUUCCGUCCUGAAUUUUUCUUCGUCUCGAAGAAAAACUCACGACAGGAAACAUUGUGGACUUGAACCUUCUCCUUCAAUCACAAACACCAACCUCCUUUAUGUGUUAUUUGUUUGAGUUGCUUAAUUUCACUGACCUAUUACCAAAAAAAAUUCAAACCCCAUUUACCAAGCCCAAAACCAAAGUAUGAUAUCCUUCUUAGUAAAGUUAUACCUAAUUUGUAUUUAAAAGAAAACCCCCUCUCUAUCCCUUGUUGGCGGUAGUUUUGGUUUUGGAGGGACUAAAAAGUUAUCCAUUACAGAAGUGGCCAAUUGAAGAUACUCGGGAAGUUAUCCAUUCCAUCAAGUUCUCACAUCUGAAACUGAAAGGCCUGUGGCAGCUGGGAUAAAAAGUUUGAUACAUUUCCAAGACUAAAUAACAUAAAAGGAGUUGCAUGUCCUUGGUGAUGCGAAUCCUGUGCUCUAGCAUCCAUUUCAGUUUUCAUGCAAAACUUAUUACAGUGGCUGCGACUGAUUGUAGCAUCAGUUCUACUUCUACUUCCAGAUGUUCCCUGCCCCAUUUGUAGUCGCCGGGUAGCAGAAGGGAAGUUGAUAACGACGGAUGGUCAAAUUUACAAGCUGGCCCAGAAUUGCAAAUGCCAUAGGUACUGUAUUGUGUGCAAAUGUUCUAGCCCUGGAUUUGAAACAAAUUUGGUAUUAAAAAAAAUUGUGAUCAAUGACAUGCACUAAUAAAGCGUAAUAUGUGAUCAAAGAUAGGCUCUCAUAGUUAGUCAAGAAUCUUUAUGUUGAAUACAAAGGACUGGUAAUGAACAUUUUCGUGGUGCACAUUGCUAAUUUAUCCAAAGGAAGCUAAAAAUUUGCAAAAUUUUGAACUUCCCAAUUAUUCCAUUACUUAAAAAAAUUGUGCAACAGCAACUUGUUUGAUCCUAUUCCAUAAUUAUGUAUGCACUUAAAAAAAAACACACAAUUCAAAGAAGAGUGAACUUACUGGUCUCAAAGGGAGGCCUAUGUCACUCAGUGCACAUGAGGGGAACAAUGCAGUCUGAUUUUUUGGAUGGUGAUAUUUGCAAUUAGAUAUAAACUUACAAUCCCCUGUUCUUGAGAAGUAAAUGCAAGCAGGUUGCCCAGGUCGUUCUGGGAGUUGUUCAACUUGCUUCUGCUGUGGAUGUUGUUCAUAGGCGUUAGUUUCAGUUACAAUCCCCUGUUCUUGAGAAGUAAAUGCAAGCAGGUUGCCCAGGUCGUUCUGGGAGUUGUUCAACUUGCUUCUGCUGUGGAUGUUGUUCAUAGGCGUUAGUUUCAGUUACUGAGUAGUUCAUAACAUAUGGUGGGGGGCAGGCAUGCUUCUUUCUGG